AUUGAACGCUGGCGGCAGGCCUAACACAUGCAAGUCGAACGAGUGGCGGACGGGUGAGUGAUGUCUGAGCAACUGCCCGAUGGAGGGGGAUCACUACUGGAAACGGUAGCUAAUACCGCAUACGAUCGUGUGUGCCCAGUUGGGAUUAGCUAGUAGGUGGGGUACAGGCUCACCUAGGCGACGAUCCCUAGCUGGUCUGAGAGGAUGACCAGCCACACUGGAACUGAGACACGGUCCAGACUCCUACGGGAGGCAGCAGUGGGGAAUAUUGCACAAUGGGCGCAAGCCUGAUGCAGCCAUGCCGCGUGUAUGAAGAAGGCCUUCGGGUUGUAAAGGACUUUCAGCGAGGAGGCGUUACUCGCAGAAGAAGCACCGGCUAACUCCGUGCCAGCAGCCGCGGUAAUUC
rnacentral:rRNA from 1 species